ACGAACGCUGGCGGCAGGCCUAACACAUGCAAGUCGAACGCCGUAGCAAUACGGAGUGGCAGACGGGUGAGUAACACGUGGGAACGUACCCUUCGGUUCGGAAUAACUCAGGGAAACUUGAGCUAAUACCGGAUACGUCCGAGAGGAGAAAGAUUUAUCGCCGAGGGAUCGGCCCGCGUCUGAUUAGCUUGUUGGUGAGGUAACGGCUCACCAAGGCGACGAUCAGUAGCUGGCUGAGAGGAUGAUCAGCCA
rnacentral:rRNA from 1 species